rnacentral:rRNA from 1 species
GAACGCUGGCGGCGUGCCUAACACAUGCAAGUCGAACGGGCUUAGGAUCCAAAGCUCCGGCAGAGGAAUCUAAGCUAGUGGCGGACGGGUGAGUAACGCGUGGAGAACCUGCCCUGUACUGGGGGAUAACAGUGAGAAAUCACUGCUAAUACCGCAUAAGCGCGAGGUGCCGCAUGGUGCCCCGUGGAAAACUCCGGUGGUACAGGAUGGCUCCGCGUUGGAUUAGCCAGUUGGCGGGGUAACGGCCCACCAAAGCGACGAUCCAUAGCCGGCCUGAGAGGGUGAACGGCCACAUUGGGACUGAGACACGGCCCAGACUCCUACGGGAGGCAGCAGUGGGGAAUAUUGCACAAUGGGGGGAACCCUGAUGCAAGCGACGCCGCGUGAAGGAUGAAGUAUCUCGGUAUGUAAACUUCUAUCAGCAGGGAAGAUGAUGACGGUACCUGACUAAGAAGCCCCGGCUAACUACGUGCCAGCCGCCGC